CUUUUAAACUGUAAUCUCCAAUGCGUGACAAUAUAUAUGCAUUCAAAAAAUGAUGCUUGCCAUUUUCGACACAUUUUAUUUUUGCGAUUGAUGAAUAAUGGAGAAAUAAGUUUACCAAAAAAAAUAAAAAAUAAAAAAAAAUAGAAAAGAGGGUCAACAUCUAGUAAAUGAAAAUUUACAGAAACAUGUAAAAGUGGAAGAUAGAGAGAGGACUAACCAAGGGGCAGUUGAGCAAAAGACUUUCAGAUUCUAAAACAUGGGGAAACCAAUAUAGAAAGAAUGACAAAUAUGGAGAUAGAAAAGGAUCAAAUGAAGUUCAAAAAACAGACCAUGCGCAAGUAUAAGUUUAUACAAUCCUUCUACAGGUUUAAUCAUGUGAAUCAAAUAGUUAAUAAUUGGUGAUAAAAAUUCAUAGAGAGGGAAGCUAAAACAAAUAUGCGAACACGACAAUGACCGGCCUCAAACUCUGAUAACAGUGGGAAACAAUUGCUGGAAGAGUGUUGAGUCAUGGAUUACAGUUCAUUGGCCUAUCCUAAUAAGAGUAGCGGCUUGUCACGGAUCGCAAGGUCAUGACUUAAGGCUUGGCAUGACACGAGAAUGUCAUGGCAUAAGGUGGAAAAAUGAGAUAGACUUAUGGCAAUUAAGGUCUAAGCUUCGGCGGUACAAGGCGAUGAGUACGUCGCCAAAUUCAGUGGGGGAGUAACUUAUGUCACGCGGUCGCAUUCGAUCCGUCCAGGUAGCGGUCGCAAGAUAGCGCGGGUAACGCGUUUCAGAAGGACGGAAUAGCUUGCGAUAGGGGACGCAGGCAAAUUUGGGUUGGGGGACAUAAGUAGAUGAUUUUGAAGCAGAAUGCAGGCUGCCUAGAUCGUGCAAUUUUUCAGGGCGUUAAUGAGGUUUUUCUAAGUCCCAACCCAGCCAUUUUGGGAGUUAAAAUACAUGAACCUUCAGUCGGAUAUUUUGAGGAUGCAAGUGGGUAACUUGCACAACUUGUCCACUUGUGCCACUUGCAAGCUAAGCGCGAGUUGUAUGCAAGCUAAGCACCAAAUGGCAAAGAUAUUAUGAAAGGUGCAAGCUAAGCGUGAGCGACAACUUGCAAGGCAAGUUGUAAGACCAUGAGUUGGCGACAACUAAGCACGAGAUGGCGACAACUAAGCGCAAGUUGUAAAGUGGAAUGCUUAAGGAGGUUUAAGUUUUCCUAUAAAUAGAGAUAUAGUCUCAUUUGUAAAUGGUAUGGAGUAGAUGGUAGAGAAUGUAGAGUAAAGAGAGUUUAUUCAUUAGAGAGAUUGUAAAGUUUUCCCCUUUCAUUUAUACAAAGAAAGUUUCCCAACCUUUACUUGUUUUCCAUAUAUUACUUACUUCAAAAUUCUCUUCUCAACGUGGGUAUAAUUUAGCCUCAUUGGUUAAAUUAUUUGUGAGCGUGGAAAGGCUGACUUAACGUUUUCUCGUGAGGUGCGAGAAUUGUAGAACGUUAAGGCCUCACGGUUCUAGUUUGUUCGGGUGUAACGAAACUAGGCCCGUGACAAGUGGUAUCAGAGCAAGGUUCACGUGGGGUUGAACCAAUUUUUCAUCUCAGAGGUGAGGUGACAUCCGUGUAAGGCUCACGUGGUGUGGACUACGGAGGUAGUAUCAAGGCGAAGGUUUGGUUGUGGUAACCAAGUGCGGCUGUGGUAGCCAGAUUCGCCGGAGAUUCUUGGAAGCUAGAUUUGGGUGAGGUGCUCAAAUGGCGAAAUCUCAAGAAACUGUUGAUAUUGAGAUUGAGGAGAGGGGUAGAGGUGCUACCCAAACUGAAGUAAGGAAAACUAGAGGCAAAAAGUAAGGUGAGGGAAGCUACCAACAUGGAAGGGAANAUGUCCAAGCAAUGAAAGGUGAUGUUCGAGCUGUGGUAGCCGGACAAGCCGCGGUUAUGGAUGAUUUUGGUCGUCUUCAAACUAAAGUCAUGAAUGCCAUUUCCGCCAUGCAUGGCCAAGUUAAUCAGUUGGCUGUGAUGAUGGAAAGGAUGAGCAACGAGCUUGAUCAAUAGAAGCACUCCACUGUCGGUACAAGCGGAGGUGCCGCUUCAAGUAUUGUUGCCCCGAGGAUUGAAUACCCGAAGCCUAAACAUUAUGAUGGGCAACGGGAUGCCAAAGUUGAUUACAAACUCGGUGGCAACAAACCAACUACUUGGCGGAAGGAGUAUGAUGACAAAAAGAGGAGUAAUUUUACACCUCGAGGUUGCUUUAUUUGCAAAGGACCACAUCUCAUGAGGGAUUGUCCUGAGUUGGGAUCAUUGGCAUCUAUUUCCAUUUCGGAGAGCAAACCGGAGGCCAUAGAUAGCCAAGAUGAGGAUGAAGUUCAAAUGAAUUCAUUCCAGCUGUUUAAUGCUAUAAGUGCCAAAACUGUUUCUGUGGGGAUGGAAACACAACAACUAUCAGAGAUGCAGUUAGCGGAAGUCCUUGAAGGUGAUAAGGAUAUUUUGCUCGCGAAGUUGCCGAGGGAACUACCGAAAAAGAAGGAAAGUGAAGAAGCAUUGUCAAAGAAGUUCGAAAUUGGGUGCAUGAAGGUUCAAAACUUCGACAGGUGUGGGGACACUACAACCGGAGGAGUUGUCCAUCCGAGGAACCAAAGCAGAGGUGCUGAGGGUGAAGGUAGGUGUCGAAGGUGGCAUGCAAGAGGUUGCAACGGGAAGAGGUGCAAGGGGCACUGUGGAAACCUGGUCAUCGAGGAGAUGGUGCCGCAAGUUGGGAGAACUUUGAUGCCCAUUCACAGGAAAGACAAUGCAAGGUUGCAUGAGGAUGCACCGAAGUCUCGCUACGAGGACGUCAGCGGAUUGAGUGGGGGAGAAUGUCACGGAUCGCAAGGUCAUGAC
rnacentral:lncRNA from 1 species